GAUGAAGAACGCAGCGAAAUGCGAUACGUAAUGUGAAUUGCAAAUUCAGUGAAUCAUCGAGUCUUUGAACGCACAUUGCGCCCCCUGGUGUUCCGGGGGGCAUGCCUGUCCGAGCGUCAUUGCUGCCCUCAAGCACGGCUUGUGUGUUGGGCCCCGUCCUCCGAUCCCGGGGGACGGGCCCGAAAGGCAGCGGCGGCACCGCGUCCGGUCCUCGAGCGUAUGGGGCUUUGUCACCCGCUCUGUAGGCCCGGCCGGCGCUUGCCGAUCAACCCAAAUUUUUAUCCAGGUUGACCUCGGAUCAGGUAGGGAUACCCGCUGAACUUAAGCAUAUCAAUAAGCGGAGGA
rnacentral:misc_RNA from 1 species